UAAGCGGAGGAAAAGAAACUAACAAGGAUUCCCAUAGUAACUGCGAGUGAAGCGGGAAAAGCUCAAAUUUGGAAUCUGGUGGUCUUUGGCCAUNCGAGUUGUAAUUUAGAGAAGCGUCUUCCGCGCUGGACCGUGCACAAGUCUCCUGGAAUGGAGCGUCAUAGAGGGUGAGAAUCCCGUCUUUGGCAUGGAAUCCCAGGGCUUCUGUGAUGCGCUCUCGACGAGUCGAGUUGUUUGGGAAUGCAGCUCAAAAUGGGUGGUGAACUCCAUCUAAAGCUAAAUAUUGGCGAGAGACCGAUAGCGAACAAGUACCGUGAGGGAAAGAUGAAAAGCACUUUGGAAAGAGAGUGAAACAGUACGUGAAAUUGUUGAAAGGGAAACGCUUGAAGUCAGUCGCGUCGACCGAGACUCAGCCUUGCCUCGGCUUGGUGUACUUCUUGGCUUGACGGGUCAGCAUCGAUUUCAAUCCUCGGAUAAUGGCAAGGGAAAGGUAGCACCUUUUUAGGUGUGUUAUAGUCCUCUGUCGCAUGCGAGGGUCGGGAUCGAGGAACUCAGCACGCACCUCAGGGUGUCGGGGCCUUGGCCCACGUUUACGUGCUUAGGAUGCUGGCGUAAUGGCUUUAAACGACC
rnacentral:rRNA from 1 species